GCGGCCGUUGUAUAACGGUAUUACCCUAGCUUCCCAAGCUCGUGACGCGGGUUCGACUCCCGUCGGCCGCU
rnacentral:tRNA from 1 species